AACGAACGCUGGCGGCAUGCCUAACACAUGCAAGUCGAACGAGACCUUCGGGUCGAGUGGCGCACGGGUGCGUAACGCGUGGGAACCUGCCCUUAGGUUCGGAAUAACUCCCCGAAAGGGGUGCUAAUACCGGAUAAUUUCUUCGGACCAAAGAUUUAUCGCCUUUGGAUGGGCCCGCGUUUGAUUAGCUAGUUGGUAGGGUAAAAGCCUACCAAGGCGACGAUCCAUAGCUGGUCUGAGAGGAUGAUCAGCCACACUGGGACUGAGACACGGCCCAGACUCCUACGGGAGGCAGCAGUGGGGAAUAUUGGACAACGGGCGAAAGCCUGAUCCAGCAAUGCCGCGUGAGUGAUGAAGGCCUUAGGGUUGUAAAGCUCUUUUACCCGGGAUGAUAAUGACAGUACCGGGAGAAUAAGCUCCGGCUAACUCCGUG
rnacentral:rRNA from 1 species